UUUAUUGGAGAGUUUGAUCCUGGCUCAGGAUGAACGCUGGCGGCGUGCCUAAUACAUGCAAGUCGAGCGAAUGGAUUGAGAGCUUGCUCUUAUGAAGUUAGCGGCGGACGGGUGAGUAACACGUGGGUAACCUGCCCAUAAGACUGGGAUAACUCCGGGAAACCGGGGCUAAUACCGGAUAACAUUUUGAACCGCAUGGUUCGAAAUUGAAAGGCGGCUUCGGCUGUCACUU
rnacentral:rRNA from 1 species